rnacentral:rRNA from 1 species
GUAUUUAGCCGUCGCUUCUUCUGUAGGUACCGUCAUUUUUUCUUCCCUACUGAAAGCACUUUACGAUCCGAAGACCUUCAUCGUGCACACAGAAUUGCUGGAUCAGGCUUGUGGCCCCAUUGUCCAAUAUUCC